rnacentral:rRNA from 1 species
UACAGAGGGUGCAAGCGUUGCUCGGAAUCAUUGGGCGUAAAGGGCAGGUAGGCGGUCUCGUUUGUCUGGGGUGAAAGCCCAGGGCUUAACCCUGGAAGUGCCCUAGAAACGGCGAGACUAGAGUCUUGGAGAGGGUCGUGGAAUUCCCGGUGUAGCGGUGAAAUGCGUAGAGAUCGGGAGGAACACCAGAGGCGAAGGCGGCGACCUGGACAAGUACUGGCACUCAACUGCGAAAGCGUGGGGAGCAAACAGG